rnacentral:rRNA from 1 species
UACGGAGGGGGCUAGCGUUGUUCGGAAUUACUGGGCGUAAAGCGCACGUAGGCGGCUUGGUAAGUUAGAGGUGAAAGCCUGGAGCUCAACUCCAGAAUUGCCUUUAAGACUGCCGAGCUAGCAGGUGAGAGAGGUGAGUGGAAUUCCGAGUGUAGAGGUGAAAUUCGUAGAUAUUCGGAAGAACACCAGUGGCGAAGGCGGCUCACUGGCUCAUACUGGACGCUGAGGUGCGAAAGCGGGGAGCAAACAGG